rnacentral:tRNA from 2 species
GCGAGAGUAGUUCAGUGGUAGAACACCACCUUGCCAAGGUGGGGGUCGCGAGUUCGAAUCUCGUCUCUCGCU